rnacentral:rRNA from 1 species
GUAGUCUCGCACAGAUGCAUAUCAAUAAGCGGAGGAAAAGAAACUAACAAGGAUUCCCCUAGUAACGGCGAGUGAAGCGGGAAGAGCUCAAAUUUGAAAUCUUAAAGGGUUUCUCUUUACGAAUUGUAGUUUAAAGAAGUGUUUUCUGUUGAGGUUUUGGUAAAAGUUCUUUGGAAUAGGACAUCAUAGAGGGUGAGAAUCCCGUAUUUGACCUUUACUUUCAACUUUGUGAUACACUUUCAAAGAGUCGGAUUGUUUGGGAAUGCAGUCCAAAAUGGGUGGUAAAUUUCAUCUAAAGCUAAAUAUUGGCGAGAGACCGAUAGCGAACAAGUACCGUGAGGGAAAGAUGAAAAGAACUUUGAAAAGAGAGUUAAACAGUACGUGAAAUUGUCAAAAGGGAAGCGUUUGACACCAGUGUUGUUUUUCUGAAAAUCAAUUAAAGAACUGUUUAUGCUAAGUUGUUUAGACUUUAUCAGCUAUCUGUUUAGUUUUGAGCUUUUCUUUAAUGCACUUUUCAGUUAACAAGUCAACAUCAAUUUCUUUUGCUGUAAAAAAGCUUGAGGAAGGUGGCUUGAGAUUCGUCUUAAGUGUUUAUAGCCUCUUGCCUAUGCAGUCGGAGAGAUUGAGGUCUGCAGCGUAGAUCCUUCGGGGCUAAAUGCAUUUGUGCUAAGUUAUAGCAUUUCAUAGACAACUUGUUGACUAUGAUUUGUCUUGUAGCUUACUCGCUUAUGUUAUUUUACCUACGCUUAGGAUGUUGAUCUGUAGUGCGUGCGC